rnacentral:rRNA from 1 species
ACUCCUACGGGAGGCAGCAGUGGGGAAUAUUGCACAAUGGGCGCAAGCCUUGAUGCAGCCAUGCCGCGUGUAUGAAGAACGGCCUUCCGGGUUGUAAAGUACUUUCAGCAGUGAGGAAGGUGGGUAUGUUAAUAGCAUAUUCAUUUGACGUUAGCUGCAGAAGAAGCACCGGCUAACUCCGUGCCAGCAGCCGCGGUAAUACGGAGGGUGCGAGCGUUAAUCGGAAUUACUGGGCGUAAAGCGCAUGCAGGUGGUUUGUUAAGUCAGAUGUGAAAGCCCGGGGCUCAACCUCGGAAUUGCAUUUGAAACUGGCAAACUAGAGUACUGUAGAGGGGGGUAGAAUUUCAGGUGUAGCGGUGAAAUGCGUAGAGAUCUGAAGGAAUACCGGUGGCGAAGGCGGCCCCCUGGACAGAUACUGACACUCAGAUGCGAAAGCGUGGGGAGCAAACAGGAUUAGAUACCCUGGUAGCUACGAGU